GGGGAAUUUUGGACAAUGGGCGAAAGCCUGAUCCAGCCAUGCCGCGUGAGUGAAGAAGGCCUUCGGGUUGUAAAGCUCUUUUAGUCGGAAAGAAAGAGUUGCAAUGAAUAAUUGUGAUUUAUGACGGUACCGACAGAAAAAGCACCGGCUAACUACGUGCCAGCAGCCGCGGUAAUACGUAGGGUGCGAGCGUUAAUCGGAAUUCCUGGGCGUAAAGGGUGCGCAGGCGGUCUUGCAAGUCAGAUGUGAAAGCCCCGGGCUUAACCUGGGAAUUGCGUUUGAAACUACAAGACUAGAGUGCAGCAGAGGGGAGUGGAAUUCCAUGUGUAGCAGUGAAAUGCGUAGAGAUGUGGAAGAACACCGAUGGCGAAGGCAGCUCCCUGGGUUGACACUGACGCUCAUGCACGAAAGCGUGGGGAGCAAACA
rnacentral:rRNA from 1 species